rnacentral:rRNA from 1 species
GUAGGGAGCGAGCGUUAUCCGGAUUUAUUGGGUGUAAAGGGUGCGUAGACGGGAAUGUAAGUUAGUUGUGAAAUCCCCCGGCUUAACUGGGGAACUGCAACUAAAACUGUAUGUCUUGAGUGCAGGAGAGGUAAGUGGAAUUCCUAGUGUAGCGGUGAAAUGCGUAGAUAUUAGGAGGAACACCAGUGGCGAAGGCGACUUACUGGACUGUAACUGACGUUGAGGCACGAAAGUGUGGGGAGCAAACAGGAUUAGAUACCCUGGUAGUCCACACUGUAAACGAUGGAUACUAGGUGUAGGGGAUAUUAAGUUCUCUGUGCCGUCGCAAACGCAGUAAGUAUCCCACCUGGGGAGUACGGCCGCAAGGUUG